ensembl:lncRNA
CAAAGACCGGUUGCCUGGAAGCAGCGAACCUAGCAGCGACCCCAAACUCCCGAGUUGCCGCCCAGCAUCAGGACUUGGUAUCAGUGCCAAGCAGCUCCCCCCUGAACCCCCUCCCACCCGGAACGCACUAGAAGCCUGGCCAGCGUAGAGGGACCCGGACGAGUGACUAUCUCCUCUGGCCAUAGACCAGCUGCCUGGCAGUCAGUCUUCCACUAGCAGCCUUCAGAUGAAGAUGUAGAACUCUCAGCUCCUCCUGCACCAUGCCUGCCUGGAUGCUGCCAUGCUCCUGCCUUGAUGACAAUGGACUGAACCUCUGAACCUGUAAGGACCUUCAAAUCACCAUGGACAGGAAGGGAAACUGCAUCUGCCUAUGGCCUCAGUAGAGUGUGGCCCAACACCCCCAGCUGACUGAACUGGACCCAGCUCUAGGGGCCCAACUCUGCUGACUCUGAAUGAAUGAUCUUUCCUAUGACUUGAGGAUCAAAGGGUUUAGGGUUUUAUUCGCUGGCUUAGUUUCAGUACUGGACAUUUAACCUAGGGCCCUCGUAUAUCUCACAGAGAUACUUUUCCACUGAAGACAGAGCCUUAGUCCUCUUUUUACAUUUCUAUUUUGAAAGGAUCGGUGCUAGUUUUUGUCAACUUGACAUAUCUGGGAGUUGGGCAUGGGUGGUGCACACCUUUAAGCCCAGCACUCAGGAGGCAGAGGCAGGUAGAUCUCUGUGAGUUGGAGGCUACACCGGUCAUCAGAGAGAGUUCUAGGACAGCUAGGGCUACACUGAGAAAUACUGUGUGAUGGUUUGAAUAUGCUUGGUCCAGGGAGUGGCACUAUUAGAAGGUGCGGCCUUGUUGAAUUAGGUGUGUCACUGUGAGCGUGGGCUUUAAUAUCCUAGUCCUAGCUGCCUGGAGGACGGUAUUCUGCUAGCAGAACCAUGCCUGCCUGGACACUGCCAUGCUUCCACUUUAAUCAUAUUAGACUGAACCUCUGAACCUG